CUCAAAUGGUUUACAAGAAGAGUGGGCGUGGUCAGAGAGUGGGCGUGUCUUUUGAUUAGCCCCUCCCAUUUGUCAUUCAGCCCACCUGCCAGCCCAAUCAUGGCUGCCUCCCAGCUCUAUCUUCAUUCUGACCCUCUUCCCCCUUCCAGAGAGUCCAAGCUGCUGUCUAGACUGUUGGAGUGGCCUUUUCCUGCUGCUUGCCAAGCUGUCUGUCUCUCUGCCUUUUCCAAUCUGCAUCCUACCCAGCAGUCAGAGUAGACAUUACCUAGGGUUCCUACCCCAUGCUCUGCUCAAGAUGGUCGAGCACUUAUUACAUAUUUAUUUAUCUUAUUGUGAUUCUUCACCUUGUUCUCUAACUGCCCUGGUGGGACAAGAAUUCUUGGCUGUUCACCCUCUAAUCUCUCUAGCCUACAAGAAUAGGCUAAGGAAUUUCCAUCUGAGUCAUCAAGUAAUGAAGGUCUGUCACGUUCAGAGAAAAAAGGUGAGUCUGAAGAACAUUGAUUUUGGUCUCCCUUUAUUGACCAUUCUCCAGUUGACAUAAAAUUCUAGAAGUCAGGCUGGGAUCAUAUAGAGAUUUUUCAAAGAAAAAUCCACAGACUUUCCUGUCUUUUGAAUAUCUCGUGCCUGUUGCUGGAGGUUGCAUGCAGGGCCAUACACAUCCUGAGACACACUCACCCCUGAGUCACUCGCCAUUCUGCCCCAGAGUUUCUAUCUUCUUGAACAUGAUUAAGUUCGGUAGACCAGAAAAAAAGGUUGUAUCUUCUCCUGAUAAAGAUGGGGCGUCGAGGAGGAACCUCACCUUUGAAGGGAAGAUUAGCC
ensembl:lncRNA